rnacentral:rRNA from 1 species
AUUGAACGCUGGCGGCAUGCCUUACACAUGCAAGUCGAACGGUAACAGGUCUUCGGAUGCUGACGAGUGGCGAACGGGUGAGUAAUACAUCGGAACGUGCCCGAUCGUGGGGGAUAACGAAGCGAAAGCUUUGCUAAUACCGCAUAAGAUCUAAGGAUGAAAGCAGGGGACCGCAAGGCCUUGCGCGAACGGAGCGGCCGAUGGCAGAUUAGGUAGUUGGUGGGAUAAAAGCUUACCAAGCCGACGAUCUGUAGCUGGUCUGAGUGGACGACCAGCCACACUGGGACUGAGACACGGCCCAGACUCCUACGGGAGGCAGCAGUGGGGAAUUUUGGACAAUGGGCGAAAGCCUGAUUCAGCAAUGCCGCGUGCAGGAAGAAGGCCUUCGGGUUGUAAACUGCUUUUGUACGGAGCGAAAAGGUCUCCUCUAAUACAGGGGGCUCAUGACGGUACCGUAAGAAUAAGCACCGGCUAACUACGUGCCAGCCGCCGCAGUAA